GGCAGAUGAUGUCUGUUCUCACGAUGGUCUUCAGAAGCCUGUCACGGCACUGCUGAGAAAGCCGGUUGGCAACACUGAUGCUAGAAA
ensembl:snoRNA SNORD35B small nucleolar RNA, C/D box 35B